rnacentral:lncRNA from 1 species
CAUAAAUGGCUUGGUUUAUUAUUAAAUGAAAGCAUGAAGCACCUAGUCCCCCUGCUGCGCCCGCGCCCACGGCGCCACCAAGCCGCCCGUCCCAAGACAGCAGCCCGCUCCCUCCGCACCGGGCCACCGGGCAGACGGGCAGACGCAGCAGUGGAGGAAGCAGCGCCCCAGCCCUCUCGCCGCAGGAAGCACCUGCUGCACUGACCGACCGACCCUCAGAAGAACAGAAAGCCCUCGGAUUGUCAGGGCCGCUGCAGACAGAGGCCUCGCUGGGGACCCCGGGUCCGGAUGCUGGCACAGGCGUUAGGAAGAGGAGGCCCCACCUUCCUGCUGCGCGGGACCCCAAAACAUGUGCUGGGCGUGGGUAGGAGAAAGAGCGUUCUCCCCUAUCCGCCUCCAGCCCUGACUCCACUAAAGGGGCUGAACCUCGGCCGGCGGGGCCCCGGGGCAGGCAGCUUCUCUGCCUCGGUGGGCUUCCGUCUGAAGCCAGAAGCAGGAGACUUGGAGCCAGAAAGCAGGGGGCGCAGAGCCCACCCCAAAGGUGCCCCACAAACCUGAGCCCGAGACCAACGGAGAACAUGGGCUUCCCUGUCUGUGAUCUUGCGUCGGCCUCACCCUAACGACACGGAGGGUGCGCUGGCUGUCUGCCAGGUCAAGCGGUCGUGCGUGGUCAGUGCCCUGGUCGCUUGCUCAUAGCUGGGCUCCUCUAUGUGAGUCUACCAAGGAAGAUAAAUCAUCCCAAGGUAUGGAUCAGAAAGGUUUUGGGGGAAACCAGACUUGUCGAAAGGGAUGGUGAGCUCAUUCAGGGGUUCGCUCUAAAGCCAGAGCGGCGGCUGGGCUGUGCUCUCCAUGCUGGGGUGCUGGGGCUGCCUGCUCUCCCUCUCACUGCUGCUCACCUGGGCUCCUCCAACCCUUGACGCCCCCCACAGGUCUGCUGGGACUCUACCUCGUGAAAUCCAUGAGAGGACUCAACCCCCCAUUGGCCGUUUGUGGGGCCUCCCUACCGUAGGCACCUUCUUCCGUCCCCUUGAGUGGACAAGAAGGAGGACAAGGAGUUGGCAUUGUAGCCUCGGUGGCUCCUUCCAGAGUCAACAUCCCUGUUCUAACUCUGGUGAUGCACAUAAUGGACCGGCGGGCAUUUGUAAGAAGAACGAAGACUGCUCUAGACGGCUGAGGGGGCUGCUGCGAUCGACUCUCAACAGAGAAGGGGAAGGCGCAGGACAGGACGGAGGGACAGGAGCAGGAGACAGACUUCGCUGACUGUAUUUUCUCUUGUAGACUUGACUUUGGAAUCACGUACAUGUUUGAAAUAACUAUAAAACAAAUUAAGCCAAAAGGAGAAAGAAAGCAAUCUUUAAAAGUUGAAAGCAAAAUGAAAGAAAUAAACCUGUGUAUCAAGUUAGUAACUUAACCA